rnacentral:lncRNA from 10 species
UAGCUGGGGUCCUGGCCGGUGACUCCAUCUCCCUUUCUGCUGUCUCCCUGUCUAUAAGACAAGGGGCUGGGCCAGCCAUCUCAAGGUCCCCUCCAGUUCCAUCUUCCCAGGGCUGAGCAGGUCCUGGGCCUUGGCGUCACAGAGCCCAGCUCACAGGCCCACCCGGGAGAGGUAUCGGGAUGUGUCUUUGCCACAUCAUAAGUUAGGCAGAAAGAUGUGUGGGACGUGGCCCUGCCCCCGGUCAGGACGGUGGACACAUGCAAACGCCGCACAGACGCACCCUGCCCUGACACCGCCCGGAGCACCUGGGUGGCUUCCUGAAUGGCGAGGCAUGGUGGGCACUCAUGGGCCUGCCGUGCACCCCACCUGCAGGGCACGUGCCCAGCAGACAGCAAGGGCUGAAUGACAGGUGACAGGACGGCCGCCAGGCAGGCGAAGGUGGGGCCAAAGGCAAGGGUGGGGCGAGGGGGGGCGAGGGAGGGGUGAGGGAGGGGUGAGGGACGGUCAGACCGGAUGUGGCUGUGCUUCAGACCGCGCGGGAAGUCCUGGGAUGGCGUGGAGCCCGCUUCAGCUGAAGGGACAGAGGGAGAGGCAGGGGCCAGACAGCGCCAACCACCUGAGACCCAGCCUCCCAGCAAGGUUGUGGCCCGCAGCGGACGCUCCCCACGAGGUAGAGCCCCGUUUCCACACCUGGAGCAGCUGCACCUGGAGGUGGGGCUCAUCUCCAGACCUGGAGCAGCUGCCUGCCCCAGGGCAGAAGCCACUGCCCGCAGCUAGGGAGCAUUGAGGAGGUCUCCCCAGGUCCGCGCGGGUUUUCUCCAGGUCCUCCAGUUUCCUCCCACAUCCCAAGUAUACACCUCAGCCUCACGGCAUGUCUACAUGGGCCUAGUCCGAGUGAGUGUGGGUGUCCCAUGGAGGCCUGUCCUAUCCAGGGCGGGUGCCCACCUUGGCACUGAGCCUCCAGGAUGGGCCCUGGUCACCUGCCACUCUGAACUGGAGAAAGCAAGUUGGAAAAUGAAUGAAUACAUGAAUAUAAAUUAUCAAAUAAAAAUUAUAAAGCCUACGGUAAUCACACAAACGCAUGACAACAAACGCCGCGUGUGAGGGUGCUCAAGGAGCCGCCAUACUCACGGUCGCUUGUCUUUCAGCUGUGCGGUGGGAGGAGGUGCUCCCAAGAGCGUGUGCUUUGCAGACAUUGAUUCCGUGAUUUCACCACCACCACUACCACCGCCGUCACUCACAGACAUCCCAAAUAUUGGGUAGAUCAUGAUCUCACUUGUUUGUAUUAAUCUUCCUUAUGUAGGUGUAGCUACCUCUACAUGUAGGGAUAGUUUACAUUUAUUUCAAUGUUUAAUAUUAGAAGUGUUUGGGUCUUUAGAAAUUUGGUGGUGUUUUUUGUUUUUUUGUGGGGUUUUUUUGGAAAUAGGGUUUUGUUCCGUCGCCCAGGCUGGAGUGUGGUGGUGUGAUCACAGCUCACCGCAACCUUAGCCUCUGAGGCUCAAGCAAUCCUCCCACCUCAGCCUCCUAAGUAGCUGGGACCACAGGCACACACCACCUUUCCUGGCUAAUUUGGGGGGCAUUUUUUGUAGAGAUGGGGUUUCAUCAUGUCGCCCAGGCUGGUUUUGAACUCCUUGCCUCAAGAGAUCUGCCACCUCAGCCUCCCGAAGUGCUGGGAUUACAGGUGUGAGCCACCACACCUGUUCUGGUGAUGUUUUGAGAGCAGAAAUAUGCCUCUUUUUUUUUUUUGAGACAGAGUUUCACACUUAUUGCCCAGGCUGGAGUGCGGUGGCGUGAUCUCGGCUCACUGCAACCUCCACCUCCCAGGUUCAAGCGAUUCUCCUGCCUCAGCCUCCCGAGUAGCUGGGAUUACAGGCAUGCACCACCACACCCAGCUACUUUUGUAUUUUUAGUAUUUCUCCAUGUUGGUCAGGCUGGUCUUGAACUCCCAACCUCAGGUGAUCUGCCCGCUUUGGCCUUCCAAAGUGCUGGGAUUACUGGUGUGAGCCACCGCACCCAGCCUAUGACAUAGGAAUUUAACUCUUGUUUAUAUCAACUAGCCUAUGGUAAAAUUGGUUUCAUUAUAUGUUGUCUUGCUUAAAGUCACAGUUUCCAGGAAGCUGUGAUGAAAUUGAGGACUUACUGUAUGCCAUUAUCUGUUUAAAAGAAAUGAUAAGUACCAACCCAUGGCCCCUGUUUCCAUGGGACCUAAGAUGAAAUGCCCAAGGUAAAGGCGAUGGCUUCCAUCUCCCAGUCCCCCGAGCCUGUCUGAGCUCCAAUACUGGUUCUCUGUCCUGUGCCGUACCCCUUGGGAGACACUGACUUUCUCCCCCCAAUCCAGUGGUCCCAAAUAAUCACCUCUGUAGUUGCAGAAGUGGAGAAGUGGACUGAGCCUUCACAUUGCCUGAAAGAUGGGGAACUCCGCCCUCUAGUGUCCGUCAGCACAGCAAGUGGGACACUUCCAUUUCCAAAGUGGAAAGACGGUGCCUUUAAAGAUGUAACCCCAACGGAGGUCAAGGUCUGAAAGGGGCACAUUCUUUCCAUGACUCUAGCCUGAUAAAGACACCCACAACCCUCCCGCCACUUGCAAGAUUUGAUCCGAAACCAGCUUCUAACAGCUGCCAAACUAAAAUGCCUUAGAGACAUGGGGUAACCAAAUUACAAACGCACGUUCCAUUUGAUGCAGCCAUGCCACCUCUAGAACUGUAUGCUGCAAAUACAGAGUCGCACAUGUGCAGUCACCUGUGCACAAGAUUACUGUUGCAGCUGUUGGUGUUAGUGAAAAACGGACACUCCCUAAAUGUGCACCGUAGAGAGUAGGUGUACCAGCCUCUGCUGCGUGGAACAGCCUGCAGUGGUUGAAAAAUGAGGAAAUCUGCACAUUCAUGUUCACAGCAGCGUCAUUCACAACAGCCAAGAGGUGGAAACAACCCAGGCGUCCACCAACAGGUCAACAGAUAAACACAAUGUGGUCUGUACAUGCAGUGAAAUAUUAUUCACCUUUAGAAAGGAAGGCGUUUUGACACAUGCUACCACAUGGAUGAACCUUGAAGACAAUAUGCUCAGUAAAACAAAGCAGUCACAGGCCGGGCGCAGUGGCUCACGCCUGUAAUCCGAGUUUGGGACCAGCCUGACCAACAUGGUGAAACCCUGUUUCUAUUAAAAAUACAAACAAAAAAAAAUUGCUGGGAGUGGUGGCACACACCUGUAAUCCCAGCUACUCGGGAGGCUGAGGCAGGAGAAUCACUUGAGCCCAGGAGUGCAAGUUGCAAUGAGCUGAGAUCGCACCACUGCACUCCAGCCUAGGCGAUAGAACAAGAUUCUGUCUCAAAAAAAAAAAAAAAAGACAGUCACAAAAGAACAAAUGAUUGCACUUGUUUGAGUUUCUUAGAGGAGUCAUAUGCAUAGAGACGGACAAUAGAAUGGUAGGUGUCAGGGGCUGAGGGAAGGAGAACAGGCAGUUAGUGUUUAACGGGGACAGAGUUUUGAUUUUGCAAGACAAAAAAGAGUUCUGGAGGUUGGUGGUAGUGAUGGUUGCACAACAAUGCAAAUGUACUUAAUAUCACUGAACUGUACACUUAUUAGUAAAAUGGUUAAAAUGGUGAAUUUUAUGUUACGUGUAUUUUACCAUUAAAAAAUGAAGAAAUUUCUUUGCUAUUGUGGCACACACACAAAAAGAAAUUCUUUGUUUUCGUAUCUCCUUCCUUCUAGAGAUAUGGAAAUAUCUCCAACUUAUUACAUAAAAAUAACAUGGAGAACAACGUAUGUAUGGUGUGCUAACAUUUAUGCCAAAACAGGAAAUACAUAUGCAAUUGCUUGUAACUACAUAAAAUAUCUCUAGGGCCCGCAUGAAACUGGUCACACUGGCUGCUCCUGGUGAGGUUGUAGGAGGCUGAGCACAGAGCCAGCAGGGGACUUUUUGGUUAUUUUUAUUUUGAACCAUGAGAAGGUAUUAAUCACACACACAGUAAGCGAAAUAAAAAUGCCAUUUUCGGAAAGAAUAAAGCCAUUUAUGGAAAGCCAUGAAUAUGGGUUGCCUGCAUACAGGCAGGUGUAAUGGUGGUACAGAUCACCAUUAUUCUGCUGGAAAUAAAACUGACCUAUAUGGACCCCAGGUGCAGACCUGUUAUGAACUGAAUAUUUAUCAAAAUUAAAAUGUUGAAACCCUAACCUCCUAUGGUGUUAGGAGGUGAGGACUCGGAGGUAAUAAGGUUAUGAGGAUGGGGCCCUAUAAUGAGGUUAGUGCCUUUAUAAGAAGAGAGAAGAGAGCUUGCUCACUCUCUCUCUCUCCUCACCGUCUGAGGAUACAAUGAGAAGGCAGCUGUCUGCAAACCAGGAAGAGAGACCUCACUAGGAACAGCACUGACCAGCAGCUUGAUCUUGAAUUUCCAGGCUCCAGAACUGUGAGAAAUCAAUUUCUGUUGUUUAAUCUGUGUAUCUGUGGCAUUUGUCACAGAAGUCUCAGCUGAGGGAGAUAAGACCUUAAGUCUUCUUAGGGGUUUAACUAUAUGGUCUGAUCAAUUACAGAUGCUGAUAAAACACAAACACCUUCCUUUUUAAAACUGAGAUUCACUUGCUAAAUUAUUUCCCUGUGAGAUCUUGUGACAACCAUUCAUGUGUGAUUACAUGGAAAGAACACGAAAGUGAGAGCCAAGCCGGGCAUAGUGGCUACGCCUGUAAUCCCAGCACUUUGGGAGGCUGAGGGGGGCGGAUCACCUGAGGUCAGGAGUUCGAGACCAGCCUGACCAAUAUGGUGAAACCGUGUCUCUACUAAAAACACAAAAAUUAGCUGGGCGUGGUGGUGCAUGCCUGUAAUCCCAGCUACUCAAGAGGUUGAGACAGGAGAAUUGCUUGAACCCAGGAGGCGGAGGUUGCAGUGAGCUGAGAUCUCGCCAUUGUACUCCAGCCUGGAUGACAGAGUGAGACUCCAUCUUAAAAAAAAAAAAAAGAAAAGAAAAAGAAAGAAAGAGAGAAAGAAAGAGCCAUCAGAACAUGAGACUCCCUGCGCUUUGGGCAGCCAGGGAGACGAGCGUCUGUCUCCCUGGGGAGGGAGAGUUUACAGCUUUCUGCAGACCAUGGCAGGGGGGUUAUGUUUCAUGUCAUGGACUCACAAAGUUGGGGGUUUCAGAAGGGACCCCAGGAAUCAACUAGUGCAACUCCCAUUCCACAGAUCAACAAACCAAGGCCCAGAUUGAGAAAGUGACCGUCUGAAGUGUCCUUAGGAUGGUUUUAGGAUGACAUCAUGCUCCAUGCCACAGCCCACCUGAUUUGGGCCAGGAGCCCCUCCCCAAACUCUGCCAGCCUCACCUGGCCCUGGACCCCCACCAAGUUCCGGGCACAGUGGUCUGCUCACUGCUCCUCCACAUAGAGCUCAUGCUCCAGCCGCCACCCCGCCCCUGCCGACCCCGGGCCUUCACUCACUCUCAACUCUACAUCUUUUCAGGGUCACACUCUCAACACCACAACCACAGCUGCUUCACCAUCUGGGCUGCUCAGGGCCUCCGAGUGCCACGCAUUCUCUCCACAGCUCUAAGCACUAUCUGAAAUUAGCUCACUUCUUUUCCUUUUUUUUGUCUUCUCUCUCCCCCUGAACCUGGGGCCCCCGAGGGCAGGGGCCUGGUCUCAUUUGCCCUGGUAACCCCAGUUCCUCAAGCAGCAUCUGGUUCAUAGGAGGUGCUCAAGAAAUACGCAAUGGAUGAGUAAACAAAAGACUGAGUGACUGGAAGCCCCAGAACCCGGGCCCGGCAGAGCGUCAUUCCAUAAAGCACCGGCCUUUACAAAAGCCCGGCUGUUCAUGGACUGCCAUGUGUGGUGCAUCUGGGUGCGGCUUCACUGCCCUGGUUGGUGGGCUGAUACUGAUUUUGGGGUUUUCUCCUAUAUCAUCAGAGCACAUCUCCCCUCUCACAGAGGAAGACAAAUUCUUCCUUGGGUCUGUAAGACUUUUCAGACUUUUUUUUCUUUUUUUGAAACAGAGUCUCACUCCGUCACUCAGGCUGGAGUGCAGUGGUGUGAUCUCAGCUCACUGCAACCUCAGCCUCCCGGGUUCAAAUGAUUCUCCUGCCUCAGCCUCCUGAGUGGCUGGAAUUACAGGUGUGUGCCACCAUACCUGGCUAAUUUUUGUAUUUUUAGUAGAGAUGGGGUUUCACUGUGUUGGCCAGACUGGUCUCAAAUUGCUGACCUCAGGUGAUCUGCCCACCUCAGCCUCCCAAAAUACUGGGAUUAUAGGCGUGAGCCACUGUGCCCUGCCUGUAAGACUUUGUAAUACUUAAUACUAAGUUAUGUGUGCCACCAGCAUGUACACAUAAUCAUUUUCUUCUCCUUUAAGUAAAAAAUGAGAAAGAACAGACACGUGGUACAGGGUCUGAGACAGAAAACCACUCUGGCCAGCAGCAGCAUCGAAGGCACAAAGCAACCUUUGGUUCUGCCAGGAGGCUGUUCCUCCGCCACUGAGAGAGCCCAUACCCGCAUCCCAGCGGCUCCAGACGCCAGCUUCUGCCAGCUCUCAGGAAUGUUUUGCUCCUGAUCCACUUCUGCGUCUACUUCCUGAUGCACUGGCUCCAGCCCAGCCGACAUGCACGGCAGCAGAGAGAUGGCUGUCACAUCGGCUGCUCAAGCAGUCAGGGGCCAAGUGGAAUCCUGGCACUGGGGAGAACGUUCACCACAGCGAUGGAGCUAGUCUGUGAUUCCGCUUGAAAAGCCACCUGCUAGGCGGUUUGUCUGCUCUCAGCCGGGCACCCUCACGCACCUGCAGUGGCGACAGGUGGGUCUUGUUGCUGUGGGCUGUCCCGAUGCAAUGGGCUGUAGCUGUCCCAAUGCACUGAACUCUGUGCUCCAGCGGGCUGGCCCAGACACAGUGCAGCAGCUGGCAGAGCUGAGAGAAGAAGUGUGCAGUCCCCUGGCAGCCUCAGCUCAGGGCUGGCCUACAGUCACGUCUGCCACACCACUGCUCAAAGCCACUCUCCUGGAUGUGCCACACUCAAACAGGAGAAACAGACGCCACCUCUUCAGAUGAAGAGCUGCAAAGUCAUCGAUUUAAAGAGCAGCAAACUCAUAUCCUCAUUUCUUUCUUUCUUUUUGAGACAGGGUCUUGCUCUGUUGCCCAGGCUGGACUAGAACUCCUGAGCUCAAGUAAUCCUCCUGUUCACAGACCAAACUGAAGGUAGACCACCUAUGCUCAUGUCCCAGUGACAAGAUGCAGAUGAACUAGGAGAGAAGGGAGUUUUUAUUUCUGUAACCAGUUACAGAGAGAAGGCCUGGAAAUUAUCACCAGACCAACUUAAAAUGACAGCGUUUUCCAGAGCUUCUAUACCUUCUCAGCUGUGUGUCUACGUGUGAGUGUGCAUCCAUCUAAAGACAUAAGUGAUUAACUUCUAAUCCAUAACUAAGAUCUGAGUCCAGAAGACCUUCCUCCGGAGCCUCAGUGAAUUUAAUUAACCUAGCUGGGUCCAGGUGCUGGGGUGAAAACCCGGAUCUGGCCUCCUGCUAAGUCAUGGAGGUUUGGGGAGUUCCUUUAGUCUCCAGUAAAGCCUGUUUGUGGAGGCCUGGGGAGUUUCUUCAGACCCCCAAUAAAAUUUGUUUAAUCCUAAAUGGGUCCUGUUAAGAAUUCCUUUGUUAUCUCUUCAUGCUUUAAAGCCCAGGAAAGGCCUGGGCAAAACUCUUGGUGGGCUUUUGUUACAUUCCAGCCUUUGUAUAAGGGCGCUGGCUCUUUCAGCUUUUAAUAUUUAACUUUACCACUUGGUCAGUACUGAAACAGUUGUUAUGGAGGCCUGUGUUAGUGAGACCUGGCCUGCCACACCCCCACCUCAGCCUUGCAAGUAGCUGGGACCGUAGGUGUGUAUGACCACAACCGGCUACGAAGUCCUAUUUCUAAGGUGCAUGGAAACAGUGAAGGGAAAAUUAAGGCUAUUUUCGCAAACAAAACAUUCAAACAGGCCGGGCGCGGUGGCUCACGCCUGUAAUCCCAGCACUUAGGAAGGCCGAGGCGGGUGGAUCAUGAGGUCAGGAGAUCGAGACCAUCCUGGCUAACAAGG